AACGAACGCUGGCGGCAGGCUUAACACAUGCGAGUCGAGCGCCUCGCAAGAGGAGCGGCCGACGGGUGAGUACCGCGUGGGAACGUACCCUUAUCUUCGGAAUAGCUCUGGGAAACUGGAAGUAAUACCGAAUGUGCCCUUAGGGGGAAAGAUUUAUCGGUUAAGGAUCGGCCCGCGUUGGAUUAGCUAGUUGGUGGGGUAAAGGCCUACCAAGGCGACGAUCCAUAGCUGGUCUGAGAGGAUGAUCAGCCACAUUGGGACUGAGACACGGCCCAAACUCCUACGGGAGGCAGCAGUGGGGAAUAUUGGACAAUGGGCGCAAGCCUGAUCCAGCCAUGCCGCGUGAGUGAUGAAGGCCUUAGGGUUGUAAAGCUCUUUCACCGGAGAAGAUAAUGACGGUAUCCGGAGAAGAAGCCCCGGCUAACUUCGUG
rnacentral:rRNA from 1 species